rnacentral:rRNA from 1 species
GACGAACGCUGGCGGCGUGCUUAACACAUGCAAGUCGAAUGGAAAGGCCUCUUUCGGGGGGUACUCGAGUGGCGAACGGGUGAGUAACACGUGAGUAACCUGCCCUUGACUUUGGGAUAACUUCAGGAAACUGGGGCUAAUACCGGAUAGGAGCUCCUGCUGCAUGGUGGGGGUUGGAAAGUUUCGGCGGUUGGGGAUGGACUCGCGGCUUAUCAGCUUGUUGGUGGGGUAGUGGCUUACCAAGGCUUUGACGGGUAGCCGGCCUGAGAGGGUGACCGGCCACAUUGGGACUGAGAGACGGCCCAGACUCCUACGGGAGGCAGCAGUGGGGAAUAUUGCACAAUGGGUGGAAGCCUGAUGCAGCAACGCCGUGUGCGGGAUGACGGCCUUCGGGUUGUAAACCGCUUUCGCUCAUGACGAAGCUUUGUGUGACGGUAGUGGGUAAAGAAGCACCGGCUAACUACGUG